UUGGAGGGCAAGUCUGGUGCCAGCAGCCGCGGUAAUUCCAGCUCCAAUAGCGUAUAUUAAAGUUGUUGCAGUUAAAAAGCUCGUAGUUGAAUUUCGGGAUUGACACAUCGGUCAUGCCUUAAGGGGUAUGAACUGGUGUAGUCAAUUUCUCACCUUCUGGAGAACCGCGAUGCCCUUAAUUGGGUGUCGCGGGGAACCAGGACCUUUACUUUGAAAAAAUUAGAGUGUUUAAAGCAGGCAUUUUGCUUGAAUACAUUAGCAUGGAAUAAUAAAAUAGGACGGCAUGAUUCUAUUUUGUUGGUUUCUAGGAUCACCGUAAUGAUUAAUAGGGAUAGUUGGGGGCAUUAGUAUUCAAUUGUCAGAGGUGAAAUUCUUGGAUUUAUUGAAGACUAACUACUGCGAAAGCAUUUGCCAAGGAUGUUUUCAUUAAUCAAGAACGAAAGUUAGGGGAUCGAAGACGAUCAGAUACCGUCGUAGUCUUAACCAUAAACUAUGCCGACUAGGAAUCAGACGGUGUUAAUUUUUUAAUGACUCGUUUGGCACCUUACGGGAAACCAAAGUGUUUGGGUUC
rnacentral:rRNA from 1 species